rnacentral:lncRNA from 1 species
CGAAGCUCACAAGAUAAUCUCUAAUGAGUUCCCCAGCUGACUGUAUUCUUAAUUUUCUUCUCUGUUUUAGGUUUUGUUUCUUUAGUCCGUUGGUGCAUUGUUGUGUCGGUAUCUUAAGCUUUUGACCCCCACGAAGUAGUAUUAGCUUGAUUUGGAUACUCAUGUUCGCUGGAUGAAAUAAAAUAUACUCGUGUCGGUUGGGCAGGCUUGUUCCAGUUCAGUAUCUCUGGGUUCCACCACCUUGAUUGUUCCAUGAUCUUAGGGUCAGGUAAAUGUGAGAUGUUUGUUUAUUUUUC